UACGAAGGGGGCUAGCGUUGCUCGGAAUCACUGGGCGUAAAGGGCGCGUAGGCGGCUUAUCAAGUCGGGGGUGAAAGCCCGUGGCUCAACCACGGAAUGGCCUUCGAUACUGGUAGGCUUGAGACCGGAAGAGGACAGCGGAACUGCGUGUGUAGAGGUGAAAUUCGUAGAUAUUCGCAAGAACACCAGUGGCGAAGGCGGCUGUCUGGUCCGGUUCUGACGCUGAGGCGCGAAAGCGUGGGGAGCAAACAGG
rnacentral:rRNA from 1 species